GACGAACGCUGGCGGCGUGCUUAACACAUGCAAGUCGAACGGAAAGGCCCUGCUUUUGUGGGGUGCUCGAGUGGCGAACGGGUGAGUAACACGUGAGUAACCUGCCCUUGACUUUGGGAUAACUUCAGGAAACUGGGGCUAAUACCGGAUAGGAGCUCCUGCUGCAUGGUGGGGGUUGGAAAGUUUCGGCGGUUGGGGAUGGACUCGCGGCUUAUCAGCUUGUUGGUGGGGUAGUGGCUUACCAAGGCUUUGACGGGUAGCCGGCCUGAGAGGGUGACCGGCCACAAUGGGGCUGGGGAUCCGCCCAAGAUCCCUAGGGGAGGAGCAGUGGGGAAUUUUGGACCAUGGGGCGAAGCCUUAAGCCACAACGGCGCGGUGCGGGAGGCGGCCCUUCGGUUGGAAACCGCUUUUGCCUUGUGCGAAGCCUUGGUUGCCGGAAUGGGUAAAGAAGCACCGGCUAACUACGUG
rnacentral:rRNA from 1 species